UUUCGCCUUCCACGUGUAGAAUUGAUAAGUAACAUGAUAAUGAAUGUCAAAUUAUUACAACAAAACAACUAUAUUGCUCCUGCAUCGUCUCCAAAAAACUCAAACUCUAUGAUUUAUACGUUUUCGCUAACCUACUAAUUGAUUUAUACUCUUCACACUAAUUUAGAUUAUUAACCAAGAGAACUAGCUAUCACCAUUUCUAAAUCCACUAUUUGUUUUCUUUUAAAACUCAAUGCUGAAAGGAGAUUAACAGAGACGACAUCUAUGGCAACUUAUGCGUUCUCCUGCAGAUGUAAUACGUGCUCACGUUCGGCACCCAAAUGCCCGUAGACCAUGGUCAAGGUGAGGGACGACGUAAACCUUCCCAUCUAUCAGGGUGAAAACAUCAACGACAAGACAUUUGACGAGAAGAGUCAUGUCUUGGACCCAUACAAGAUGCUUUAGGAGUACACCCAAUUCACUGUCAUGCUCAACCUACUCUACGCCUUCUCCACCGGCGGCUACUCCAACAUUCAGCGCGUCACGCAGUGGAAACUUGAUGUCACCGAACAUAGCAAGUAGGGUGACAUGUGAAAUAAAAUCUUCCAUUCACCGAGUUGAUUUAUUCUAUAAUUUUAUUGCUUGACCACAAUAGCCUUAGGAUUUAUUGUCUGACCAUAUUUUUUCACUAUGAAAGACGUGGCGUAUAGUCAUAGUAAGAGUUCAAUAAAAUUUCCUGUU